UCUCUGUUUUUUUCUCCGUAUAAUCCCAGAUAUUUCCCCCACGCCUCCAUCUCCCAACCUCUAGUCUCCAGAUUCCAAUCUACGCCGGGGAUGCCCACCUCGCGCAUCGCCCAUUCCCCCUCCCUGUGGGGCAGCAGCCCUACCCCGAAGCGCUGGCCUCCGCCGCUAACUCCGUCCACCGUCGAUUCCCUUUCUCGUCCAUUGCAACCUCGGUAGUCCGAGCCCGUCGGCGUCCGUCGUCCUCACCGUCGCAAUGCCGUGCUCCUCCUGAUGUUGUCCUCACCGUCACCUAGCCGCAUCCACUUUGGUCUCAUACGCCACCCGAAGAUCUGCCGCGUGUUCCCUCGCUACAGCACCCCGCAAGCAUCUUCAGCCUCCGGCCCGUCAAGCAGGUUAUCCCUUGAAUACCAUAUCCUCUGCAGUUUUUACCAUCAAUCAAUCAAAUUAGCGGCGUGUGACAUGUUCGGCUGCUUGCAUGAUUCACCCCGUUCCAGGGGCACCGAACCAACACCGGCCCUCGCGUGAUUCGCCCUGUUCGUAUGUGCAGCUCUAGGGCAUUCUGCGACCACCCUCCCCUGUCUGCUAGUGCUACAUAGUCAACUUUUUUGUGCGUUUAUGUUCAGAUCAUCCCAGUACACAAUCGAUUGAUUUUUUAUAUGUCAAACUGUGAUGGCCUGUUAUGCUGUUAGUUACUAACCUGUAACUAGUACUGAACUAUGAACUUGUCAUCUUGUAAGUGGUAAUGUUCCAUGCCAAUGGGGGGAAGUUGUUCACUUAUGCUAACUUAUUAUUUGGUUGUAUAUUAGCUACUACUAGUAAUUAUUGUGUACUGCUUGUUUUUUUGUCGUGCAGAAAUGCAAACAAGAGACAAUAAGUAAGACUGAAUCUCCCCUAGGAAUGAAUUUUCUCCUUUUUUUGGAGUUCUUUUAUGCCUCUCGGUGGAUUUUUGGGUGAUGACACAUGUAAUUUUGGGAGGAGCAGGGAUAUGAUUCACGUGUUCAUCUUGCGAUUAUGGUGGGUUAGGAUGUUCAUUCUGAUUUUUAUGGCAACAGAUUCAAACGCCUCUUCCUGAAUCUUGUGCCCCGCUAUUUUAGGAGUAUAUAACCCCACCUAUUGGAUGGCCGACCCAUGUCACCCUGUUCGCCUUGGUCGCCGCCACUUAACGGCAUGGUGGUGAACACCAGUGCAAGCACAGUGGCGGCUUCUCUUGCCUAGGUACACGUCGCAUAUCUGCUUCAUCUUUUCGCUGGUUUGUGUACUUUUGCUCUCUUUUCACUCUUUCUGAGUACAUGCUUUGUGAUUAGCACACACAUCAUAAGUAUUACUAGCUUAGAGGACAGUUUUUGUUUCCUAGAUUGUUAUUUUUUACCACUGUAAGAAAAAAACAUGAGGAAGGGGGUUCUUUUAAUUCUCAUUGUGAUAUGUCGUUGCAUCAAGUUUUAGUUCUACAAGUAUAUGAACUGUUAUUUCGUUGAAAUUCAGACCUAAUGGUGGGUGCAUACAGUACAGAAAAUUGUAUACCUACCUGAUUCUUAAUCUAAGCAGAAGGUUUAUUAGGUAUUGCGUGUAGGUUUGUGGGUACGGCACAGAUUUGGAGGUUCAGCUCUUGCCUGCAUGUGCAAAAAGUUCAUGAUUUGCAUCUCUAAUAUAACAUGGUAAGUCGUUUUUAUUCUUGAUCUCUCCAUUACUUAUGUUCCAUUUCAUGGAUGGAAGGAAUUCCGAUUUAAUUUCACAUGAUGUUCAAACACAUAAAUACCUGAUGUGCUGAAUUGCUAACAUACUGAGAAAAUGCUACAACUUGAUGACUAUGUAGUAUAGUUCAUUCAGAACUUAGUUCUGAUGAAAUGGGUCUUGUGGAGUAUAUUGGCUUCAAUUACAAUUGAGCAUGAUUUAUUGGCAAUAUACUACAACGCUACAUUAUUCCCAGGUCAAGAAUAACAUUUUAGGCAUAACUUUACGUGCAAUGCAAGUCGGCAAAACAGAUGCGAUUUUUUUCUUACUCUAGAACCACUUAGAUUUUCUGUACUGAUUUCCCCUUUUAAUCUGUGGAUUCUGAUUUAAGAGUCGUUGUCCCCAAAUCAUUAUAAAAUUCUUGGUGGGUUUUUAUGUAUCCAUCAACGACUUUAGUUUUCGUGAACAUAUUUGUUCAAUAAUUGAGCACAUUUACCAGCAAGAUAGAAAUGAAAUUACUAAUGGACCGUAUGAUUGCUUUCACUAGCAAGCUCAGGUGAUAGCUAAUUGCCUUCUAUUGGUGAGCAAAUUCAAUGUUCUCUUAUAUCUUAUCGACCCAUAGAGAAUUUUUCUUGAUGUUCUAGUACCGCCUACUAAUGUAUUUUCAAUGCAUAUUUUAUAACAUGCUAUAUAGCUUAGGGUGUGAAAUAUUCAUUUUGUGCCUCUUGUGAUUUUCAACUACUUAAGUCUGGUGAAAUUUAUGGUGUUGUGGAACUAUUGAAGUUUGACUAAAUUUUGUUAUUCAACUUGCAUUGCUCUUCAAAGCGUGUGUGGUACAUGUUGUUGACAUCCAAGAAUGCUUCUUAUUUAAUCAUCAUAGUAUGUUUCAAAUUAAGACAAGCUUCAGCCCAACAUAAGUAGUCCACCAAUAAAUUGAGUCAACCAUGUUCUAUAGAUCUUAUCUAUGUCCUCAUAUAGUUUGAUUACCAUAUGCAUCUUCUACCACUUUGAACAAAUUUGUUGUGCAUCAUUUGAUUAAUUACUGCAUCUUUAUUUGACAUGCAUAUUAUCGGAUUUUUAUUGCUAACCUUGCCAAAGUCGAUCAUAUCAAAGAGAAGGUGACAAUAAUUCUCAUAACUCUCAUUUAUAAAUUAUUUUUGAAAUACCAAAUAAUGACUAUGAUUUGUUUAUGUUUACUUACAACUGAAACUAAACUUGCGGAAGCACGUCUUGAAAAGUUUGAUAAAGGCAAUCAAGGCCUUGAAGAAUCAACUUACGGAACCAACUAUUCACUAACAAGGAAUGGGUUACACUAGUUUAUUUGUGCCUGUGUGCAUAAAUUUCUUCAUUACCAUACAAUGCCUAAUUUUUGAACAAGUUUACUUACAGUUGCACUGAACCUCAAAUGCAAAAGCACAUGGUGGCCAAGAAUCGGCAAAUGCUCAUGCUGGAAAUAGCAGUGCGACCAAGUAAGGUGGUCCUGAACCAAGUGUAUAACUUCCCACGUCACUAAGCAUAUCAAGAAAAUACAUUAGUAGGUUGUAUCUUUGGUGAAGUAUCUUGGUUUUUUAGGUCAAAAAGUGAGCCGGCCACUCCAACACAACCUAAGACAUUGGUGCUCCAAGACACCCUCAAGACAUUUGUAUGGGUAGCUGAGAUUUUAGAAUUGGAAAGCAUUGCAGGAGCAAGGAGAAACUACACAAGAAUCAGUUUUUAAACGAAUGUAUAUUAUGUAUAAUGUAUGGAAAGCUUAGUUCUAGUUUGUAGUAUCUUCUCUUUAAUUAUUUACAUCAUGUCUGAUUUGUUUUAGUUGUGAACUCCAUACACUUUUAGUAUUUGUAUGUGUUCCUAGAUUUGUUACAAAGGAUGCUAAUUGUGAGAAUGGAUUUCUACGAAUGCAAUUGGUGAUGUGGAUUGAUGACUU